GGAGAGGUUUAUUUGGCAUUCAUGGUUUCAGAGGGUUCAGUCCUUGGUUGGCUGGCUCUGAGGCAGGAGCAUCAUGGUGGAAGGGUGUGGUGGAGCAAAGUUGUCUAGUUCCCAGCAAGCAGGCAGCACAGCAGGGCAAUGGUGGCAGAGAGGAAGGGAGCAAUUACAGUACCCAGGGCCUCACCUCCAUGACCCACUGCACACAUCCAGAAGUGGGCUUUACUGAUCCCAUGGGCAGCUCUCAAUCCAAUCAAGUUGGCAAUCCAGUUCAACUGUCACAACUGACAUUCUGUCUUUGACCAUGUGAAAGAGAACCACACCAUCUAGAAUAGGAGAGAUGGAAGGAAGAGUUGGAAUAAGAGCUUAUGGCCAAGUCUUUUUCUACAAUAUCACUGACUGUCCUUGAAAAUCUGUGGAUGGAGUCCCCAGAGAGUGGAGCGAUAGUUGGAGAAAGAAUUUCCUCAAGACAGGAGUUAACGGGUGCUGCCGUGAAGAUAAAGUACUAUAGGACAGGGCAACUCUGAACACGGGCUCUGCCCAGACCCAGUCCUUCCAUGCUGAAGCAAACUUUCAAAAAGUGCCCCCUGACUGCCAGGCCUGUCACCCCAGCCUCUGCAGCUGUGUUCCAGAGCCGACUUUAUGUAAAUGCUGGAGGGAGCUGCUCAGCACUUUUCCCCCCGGCCUGGUGACUUCCGCUGCCCAACAGUACUGCCAAAUCUGUCCCCAGCAGCUGCGGCACCUCGUGGCCACCAUGUGGUCGAACUCCCUGGGCCUCAGCUCCCAGCCGCUGGCCAGUCCAGUCUCCCUGUGCCCUGGACACCCGUGACAGUGAGCUGCCCAGGCAGCAGGAAGAGCUCUGGGUCCUCGCUUGCUACUCUGUGUGGCUCUGGAAGGGACUUCGCCCAGCCGCUGGGGCCGGUCAGGAGUGAGGGGAGGGUGUCAGGCUCUGGAGAUGGAGGUGGCGGGUAACGUGUGAAAAGCCCAGUCGCUCCAGCUCAGGCCCUGUCGGGUGUGGAGGAAGCAAGGAGGAGGGAGCCCCCUCAGUGUCUCUGACCUCUCAGCCGCUCUGCUCUGCCAGGUGGCUCAGAGAGAACAGCUCGGGAGAGUUCUCCAGGGUGCCAUUAUUCUCAUCUUGCAGAGGAGGAACCUGAGGCUGAGAAGGGAAGGGACUUGUCCAAGGCUAACGGCUGGGAGGCAACUUCCACAGCCCAGCUACACAGGCCGAGUGCAGAGUCCCUUGCAUGGGUGCCAUCGCCUCCCCCAACCACAGUCCCGCUCUGGAUGCUUCCCUAGUGUCUUCACGUGCACAACAUAUGGUCCUUACUGCUGAAAACCCAAACGGGGGAAGAACCGUUUUAAAACGCGUUAGAAUAUGAAAGAGUGAUACAAAGGCAAACAUUAUCUCAAGAUAGGUGGAAGAAAUACUCCAAAAGAGAUAUGAAACACAGGAGAUAUAAGCAAAUUUCCUGACAGUCAAAAGGAGACAGCACUUCCCACUGAAGGAAAAUUGUAGCAUUGGGCUGGGACUUGAAUAAUAUUUUCCUAGGAGGAGGAGGAGGAUGCUGUUGGGAAGGAAAAAUCUGUCCUCUAUCCCAGUGAUGGCAAACAUUUUAGAGCUUACGAUGAUAACAAACAGCCUCCUAUGGCACAUAUGCCAGAGGUUUGCCACCACUGCAUCUAUCCUUCCAGGAGCAGUAUGUGGGCCUCUGCUAAUUAAACCAUCAAAAGACAGAUUUUAUUCACACACACAGUGUACGUGGGAGUUCAUGAUUACUCAAGGGGGAAGUUGGAAUUUGGGGCUUAUAUACCAUCGUAGUAGGGCAGAAGGGUACUUCUGGGAAAAUAAAUGACUUUUAGGAGAGAUAAAUGAUCUCUUAGGAACAUAGGUUCUCAGAACAAGGAAACUAAAGUACUCCGCCUUGUUAUCCUGAGUGGUUUCCGCCUUGUUAUCCUGAGUGGUUUGAGCUAAAGGACCCUGGGGAAACCUAGGCGGUAUCCUGGUCCGUUUCCUGCUGUCUUGUCUCCUUGUUUUUUCCUGGAACUGAGUCAUAGGAACUAGAUUUCUUCUUCCUCAAGAAGGGUCAUAGAAACUAGAACCCCUUUCCUUGAAAGCAAGCCAUAAAAUCUAGAAAGAUCUCUCUCCGUUCUCCCUUGAAGACUCUCAUUCCAGAGGAGUGCUGUCCCCCACCCCGAAG
ensembl:lncRNA